rnacentral:rRNA from 1 species
AUUGAACGCUGGCGGCAGGCCUAACACAUGCAAGUCGAGCGGAUGAAGGGAGCUUGCUCCUGGAUUCAGCGGCGGACGGGUGAGUAAUGCCUAGGAAUCUGCCUGGUAGUGGGGGAUAACGUCCGGAAACGGGCGCUAAUACCGCAUACGUCCUGAGGGAGAAAGUGGGGGAUCUUCGGACCUCACGCUAUCAGAUGAGCCUAGGUCGGAUUAGCUAGUUGGUGGGGUAAAGGCCUACCAAGGCGACGAUCCGUAACUGGUCUGAGAGGAUGAUCAGUCACACUGGAACUGAGACACGGUCCAGACUCCUACGGGAGGCAGCAGUGGGGAAUAUUGGACAAUGGGCGAAAGCCUGAUCCAGCCAUGCCGCGUGUGUGAAGAAGGUCUUCGGAUUGUAAAGCACUUUAAGUUGGGAGGAAGGGUAGUAAGUUAAUACCUUGUUGUUUUGACGUUACCAACAGAAUAAGCACCGGCUAACUUCGUG